GAUGAACGCUGGCGGCGUGCCUAAUACAUGCAAGUCGAGCGAACAGACGAGGAGCUUGCUCCUCUGACGUUAGCGGCGGACGGGUGAGUAACACGCGGAUAACCUACCUAUAAGACUGGGAUAACUUCGGGAAACCGGAGCUAAUACCGGAUAAUAUAUUGAACCGCAUGGUUCAAUAGUGAAAGACGGUUUUGCUGUCACUUAUAGAUGGAUCCGCGCCGCAUUAGCUAGUUGGUAAGGUAACGGCUUACCAAGGCGACGAUGCGUAGCCGACCUGAGAGGGUGAUCGGCCACACUGGAACUGAGACACGGUCCAGACUCCUACGGGAGGCAGCAGUAGGGAAUCUUCCGCAAAGGGCGAAAGCCUGACGGAGCAACGCCGCGUGAGUGAUGAAGGUCUUCGGAUCGUAAAACUCUGUUAUUAGGGAAGAACAAAUGUGUAAGUAACUAUGCACGUCUUGACGGUACCUAAUCAGAAAGCCACGGCUAACUACGUG
rnacentral:rRNA from 1 species